rnacentral:ncRNA from 1 species
CUGACCAGCACGCAUGGGUCGACGUUCAUGCAACGAGCCCGUUUCAUCUGCUUCAAACAUGAGGCAGAUGGAUGCGUUAUUGUCAG